AUGGCUAGUUGCCAUAGCGCUGAUCAAUAGACCAAGUAUAAGAAAUGGUUGUGCACUGGCCUGA